rnacentral:rRNA from 1 species
UACGUAGGGGGCAAGCGUUGUCCGGAUUCAUUGGGCGUAAAGAGCGUGUAGGCGGUCCGGUAAGUCCGCUGUGAAAGUCGGGGGCUCAACCCUCGAAUGCCGGUGGAUACUGUCGGGCUAGAGUGCGGAAGAGGCGAGUGGAAUUCCUGGUGUAGCGGUGAAAUGCGCAGAUAUCAGGAGGAACACCUAUUGCGAAGGCAGCUCGCUGGGACGUUACUGACGCUGAGACGCGAAAGCGUGGGGAGCAAACAGG